CUUAUAGAAUAUUGAAUAGUAUAUUAAUAUUAAUAUAUUAAUAUUUGAUAUUUUCUUACAUCUCUUCCUUUCUUCCAGGAAACGUGGCUUACUAUAUUCUUUUGCAUGAAAUGCUUUUACUAACCAACUUCCCUAAAAAAGAGAAAGUCAGGUGCAAAAAAAAGGUCACUUCUGUAUUUUGGACUCAGUAAAUCAGCAGGAUUUGUCAGCAGGAGCUGAAGUUAUGUAUUUGUACCAUACCUGAUGAUAUGAGAUGACCACUAGAGCUGAGAAUUAAAUUUUAAUUUCAGAAUUGAAUUUUAAUUUCAACCAAUCUAACUAUCUCAUCAUCAGGAAUCUCAGAAUACAGCCAAGAAAUGAAGGAGUGAGUCUAAAAAAAAUGGACUUGUUAAGUGUGAUCGCUGUUGCUAGACCACUUGUCAAUAAAUUGGACAAUUCAUUUUUCCAACGGUAAUGACAAGCACCUUCUCUAAAAUCCCUUCUAACA
rnacentral:lncRNA from 1 species